AUUGAACGCUGGCGGCAGGCCUAACACAUGCAAGUCGAGCGGAUGAAGGGAGCUUGCUCCUGGAUUCAGCGGCGGACGGGUGAGUAAUGCCUAGGAAUCUGCCUGGUAGUGGGGGAUAACGUCCGGAAACGGGCGCUAAUACCGCAUACGUCCUGAGGGAGAAAGUGGGGGAUCUUCGGACCUCACGCUAUCAGAUGAGCCUAGGUCGGAUUAGCUAGUUGGUGGGGUAAAGGCCUACCAAGGCGACGAUCCGUAACUGGUCUGAGAGGGUGAUCAGUCACACUGGAACUGAGACACGGUCCAGACUCCUACGGGAGGCAGCAGUGGGGAAUAUUGGACAAUGGGCGAAAGCCUGAUCCAGCCAUGCCGCGUGUGUGAAGAAGGUCUUCGGAUUGUAAAGCACUUUAAGUUGGGAGGAAGGGCAGUAAGUUAAUACCUUGCUGUUUUGACGUUACCAACAGGAUAAGCACCGGCUAACUUCGUG
rnacentral:rRNA from 1 species